AACGAACGCUGGCGGCAGGCUUAACACAUGCCAGUCGAACGCCCCGCAAGGGGAGUGGCAGACGGGUGAGUAACGCGUGGGAACAUACCCUUUUCUACGGAAUAGCUCUGGGAAACUGGAAUUAAUACCGUAUACGCCCUACGGGGGAAAGAUUUAUCGGGGAAGGAUUGGCCCGCGUCGGAUUAGCUAGUUGGUGGGGUAAAGGCCUACCAAGGCGACGAUCCAUAGCUGGUCUGAGAGGAUGAUCAGCCACAUUGGGACUGAGACACGGCCCAAACUCCUACGGGAGGCAGCAGUGGGGAAUAUUGGACAAUGGGCGCAAGCCUGAUCCAGCCAUGCCGCGUGAGUGAUGAAGGCCUUAGGGUUGUAAAGCUCUUUCACCGAUGAAGAUAAUGACGGUAGUCGGAGAAGAAGCCCCGGCUAACUUCGUG
rnacentral:rRNA from 1 species